rnacentral:antisense_RNA from 1 species
CCCUUCACUCAACAAAUGGGGAUGUUAAGGCCCAGAAAGGCAAAGAAAGUUCCCCAAGGUCACAAGAUCAAUUGGCCACAUAGUUGAGGCUGGCUAAGAGAAAAGAAUAAUUUCUUGCUGGAUUCUUGGGAGAACCAUACAGGAAUAAGGUGUGACGGGACAGGGAGGAAGAUUAGAGCAAAACAAGGGAGUUGAAGUGAGGGAGUUAGGAGGAGAACCUGGAUACCCCAGAAAACCCCAGCUCCAAUGUAGCCCACCCUAGCAGCCCAGGUGAUGGUGAGAGAUGCAACUCACUUCUUCUGCUUCUUCUCCAGCUCAUGGUUUCGACUUUGUUGGUUCUCUAGCAGGACGCGGGUAUCCUCAAGGUCACAGGGCAGUCUCUGGAUAGAAGAUCCACAUGUACAGACAAUAUUUUUCAUGUCUCACAGUGACCAGCAUUUGUAAUAAUAGUGGAGAUGGAAAAACCUUAAGGGGUUUGUGUCCUCUUCCUCCCUCUUCAGGCUCAGCUAAUACCUCGAUCACCCACAGUGGAGGUGAGAGCCUGCCCACUCUCUAACACUUCUGUGGCCCAGACUAUCCCCACAUCUUACCUUUUGCUCCAGCUCUUUCCUGGCUGUCAGCUCCGAGUCCAGCCUCUCCUCGCAUUGCUGCAGACGCUUUCUGAGGAACUCAUUCUCCAUCUGAGCACAGUCGAAGCGCAUCUGCCACUCGUCUGCUGUUUAACGGAGU